UGCUAGAGUGAUGGCGAGUGGCGGACGGGUGAGUAACGCGUAGGAAUCUGCCUUUAUGUUGGGGACAACUCGGGGAAACUCGAGCUAAUACCGAAUGUGCUCUAAGGAGUAAAGCCUGGGACCGAAAGGCCAGGUGCAUAAAGAUGAGCCUACGUACGAUUAGCUAGUUGGUGGGGUAAAGGCCUACCAAGGCGACGAUCGUUAGCUGUUCUGAGAGGAAGAUCAGCCACACUGGGACUGAGACACGGCCCAGACUCCUACGGGAGGCAGCAGUGGGGAAUAUUGGACAAUGGGGGCAACCCUGAUCCAGCAAUGCCGCGUGUGUGAAGAAGGCCUGCGGGUUGUAAAGCACUUUCGUUGGGGAGGAAAGUAAUACCUUGAAUAGGGGUGUUAUGUGACGUUACCCAAAUAAGAAGCACCGGCUAACUCUGUGCCAGCAGCCGCGGUAAGACAGAGGGUGCAAGCGUUAAUCGGAAUAACUGGGCGUAAAGAGCACGUAGGCGGUUUACUAAGUCCAUUGUGAAAGACCAGGGCUUAACCUUGGGUUGUCAUUGGAAACUGGUAGGCUAGAGUUUAGUAGAGGAUAGUGGAAUUUCCGGUGUAGCGGUGAAAUGCGUAGAUAUCGGAAGGAACAUCAGAGGCGAAAGCGGCUAUCUGGGCUAAAACUGACGUUGAGGUGCGAAGGCGUG
rnacentral:rRNA from 1 species